AUAAAAACACUGCAAAUUUAAAAUGGCACCAACUUAAAUGCUCUAGACAAGUUCAUAAGUACGUAUCACAAAACCAGCUUUUUCAUCUCUUGAACUUUCAAUUCUGUAGUAAGAACAUUGUAUCUGAAAAGCUCAGAGUGAUCAAGUAGGAACAUAUAAGCAGUUUUUGUUUCAUAAUGCAGUAUUUGCUUCACAUGAAAGAAUAAGGUGAGUUCACUGUAAAGUUCUCUCCAAGAGUCAUGUGGAUAUUGAUGAGUCUGCAGACUGAACUAGAUCACCAUGACUGGAGAGAGAUGGGAAAUGAAACAUUGCAUACUAUAGGUUGUGUGUGACUAUCUUUAUUCUUUUUAAAAUGGUUUACUAUUGACUUCUAGCUAACUUAACAUUUUCAUGAAUGCUACAUAAAACCUAUGUGAUGUUAGCUACACCUGACAGAUGUCUAGUUUCCAUCAACCCAAGGCUACAAAUGUGUGAAACAUUUGAAUCAAUGUGGACCUCUGUCGAACAUUCUAGCAUCAUUCAAAGUCCCAGGCUUCAUGCAGGAGUUUCAAGGAGAGUCCCAGGGUCACAGGCUCAGGAGAGUCUGACCCCUGUGUUGAUUUCUACAAUUAUCAGUUCCCAUCACCCUCCUCCAGCAAACUAGGCUCACAUUUGCUUACAACUCACUAUUCAACCUUUGCCACUGUGGGUUUUUUUUUAAUGGACUACUUAUUACUUUUUUGAAUCCUGGAGAUUUCUUUCACUGUUAUGAGAGUGAAGAAAUAGCUAAGAAAUAUGUUUAUCACAAUCAUUUCCGAUUAUUACUGAUUAUUUGGAAUUAUUGCAGAAUUCAGUGGAAAGGCCAUUCAAAACUUUUAUCCAGUCUGCCCAGGAGCUGAGUCCAUUACUUUCACUGCCAAAUUUGACAAUCAAAACUACACACCACCCCAAGUAUAAUUUACUAUGCUUUUCAUUACAUUUGGACACCAAUUCAUAGAAAGUGAAAGUCAUUUAGAUGAAAGUAGUAAAUGAAACAUAGAAAAGAUAAUGGCACACAGA